rnacentral:tRNA from 1 species
GGGAAGGUAGCUCAGUGGUAGAGUGCUUGCCUUGCAUGCAUGAGACCCUGGGUUCCAUUCCU